rnacentral:lncRNA from 1 species
AUUUUGAGAAAUAAAAUUAACGGUACCAAUUUUCUUGCACCAGAUGCGCAUUUCGACAAUACAUGUCUCUUCAGUGAUGCUCGUGGCCAAAAUAUUUGCAAUCCAAAGCUUAUAUAAAAGAUGAAGAGCUAUAAUCCAAAAGGUCCAAAAAGUAUAGCCAAAUCCGUGAAAGGAAUCAGAGCUUUGCAUGAGGGAGAUACAUUCCUUAAUUUAUAAUAAUUUCUAAUAUUUUGUAACAG